UACGUAGGGACCAAGCGUUGUCCGGAAUCAUUGGGCGUAAAGAGCGUGUAGGCGGCUUGUUAAGUCUUGCGUGAAAUCUCGGGGCUCAACCCCGAGCGGUCGUGAGAAACUGGCAGGCUAGAGUGCGGGAGAGGAGAGUGGAAUUCCUGGUGUAGCGGUGGAAUGCGCAGAUAUCAGGAGGAACACCAAUAGCGAAGGCAGCUCGCUGGGACGUUACUGACACUGAGGCGCGAAAGCGUGGGGAGCGAACAGG
rnacentral:rRNA from 1 species